rnacentral:rRNA from 1 species
GACGAACGCUGGCGGCGUGCUUAACACAUGCAAGUCGAACGGUGAAGGGACCGGUUUUUGCUGGUUCUGGAUGAGUGGCGAACGGGUGAGUAACACGUGAGUAACCUGCCCCCUUCUUCUGGAUAACCGCAUGAAAGUGUGGCUAAUACGGGAUAUUCUGCGCCUGCUGCAUGGUGGGUGUGGGAUAGAUAUUGUUUCGGUGGGGGAUGGGCUCGCGGCCUAUCAGCUUGUUGGUGGGGUGAUGGCCUACCAAGGCGGUGACGGGUAGCCGGCCUGAGAGGGUGGACGGUCACACUGGGACUGAGACACGGCCCAGACUCCUACGGGAGGCAGCAGUGGGGAAUAUUGCACAAUGGGCGCAAGCCUGAUGCAGCGACGCCGCGUGAGGGAUGGAGGCCUUCGGGUUGUAAACCUCUUUCGCCAGUGAAGCAGGCCUGUCCCUUUUGUGGGUGGGUUGACGGUAGCUGGAUAAGAAGCGCCGGCUAACUACGUG